AGGACUACACAGGUUGAGUGUGCAGUCAAUGAACAGUUCAAACUUUAUUUGAAGGCAACAAAGGGUUGACUCUCUCUCUGUGUCUGGUCUCUGGUCGGAGGGCAAGUUGUUCUGAUCACUGCAGUAUCUCAAUGUGCCUCCAGUAUGAUGGCGGCCAUGUACUCUCAAGACAACCAAUCAUUUUACAAAAUGUAGAGAGUGAAUAUAAGCAAAAGAAUCUUCACCUAGAGAGUGGUGAAUCAGUUGGAAUCAGCUUUUACUUAAUCCAUAUCCUUUGUUGUGGUUUGUUUGUACAUCAGCAUUCCACACACAUCAGGGAUUGAAGUUUGCGACAAGGAGAAAGUCCAUGCUCUUGACAAUGUUGAGGAAUUCUGGUCUUUACAAGCAGAAAUCAGUCUCCUAUUUGUAAUGCUCUAAGCAGCUGUUUACAGAAAGUCUUGACUAAGGUGUAUUUAAAGCUGCAGAAUACAGGUCCUACAAACUUUAUCCCCAUACUUUGUGUAGGCCCUUGUUUAAUCCUUUUGUGCAAAUAUCCAAACCCAAAUGGUUUUGAAAGAAACAGCAGCAUGACUCUUGCCUGAAGAAACUAAAACCUCAAGGGUUGCAUUUCCUAGUCGGCAUACACCAUGACUACAAUUACACAGCCUCUUCUCCUUCUGCUCAUCUCACACUGCUGCUGCCAAGGGCUUUAUGCAACGGGAAGAAAAUCCACACUGUUCCCAAUAGCCGGCUUUCUAAAGAUUUUUGAUGUCACUGGAGGUAGCAUUCAAUGUUAGGCUUUCUCUCACAGCUCUAGAUUCAAAGAAGAGGUUGCAUAUUGCAAAUGAAAAAGCAAGUGGAUUGAACAGUGCUAAGUAAGACUUCCACUUCAGCUCUGCUCUCCUGGUAUUCUGACUGAAAUGGUGCUUGGGUUUUUGUGGAAAUGAGUAAGUUAUGCUGGCAGCCCCUAACCGCAUUGGUUAACCUGGGUUUAGAAAGAAACCAGACUGCUGUCUAACAAUUUUAAUAAAUUUCACUAUCAGUACGUUUGAUACAAAACUCAAAAAAAAGUUAAGAGAAAUCUCUCAUUAUCUGUCAGACUGGGAGACAACACCUGUGUCCUGUGGCAACGCUGGUGCUGAUUUAUUUAAAAACAAGGUUAAAACAGUGGUGCCAAGUUGCCUUCUAAUGGUGAUGGAAAGCCAUGAGAAUUUAAAAACAUCCAGUGGAACAGUGCCAGACUGCAUUCUGAAUCUGAUGCCUACCAUCAAAUGCUUGGCGUUAAUUACCAACAGUAAGGCACAGUCUGGCAUUCUUGGCAAACUGCAUGCUGUCAACUUCCUGUUUCUCUUGAACUGCUGAGUGCAAUUUCUUAGAGGGAAGAGCACAACAGGAGUGAAAACUAAACUGAAUAAGUAAAAAAGCAAAAGAAGAAAACACAAUAUUCAUUUGCCUAUACCACUUGCCCAGUGGUUAAACAUUUGAAAUUAAGCUCAUCAUUUAGAAUCCAGGCAGCAUUAAAUCAAACAAAAGAUAAUCUGCACGUAUCCAGUGUGCAAAAACUUAAUCGUUUUCAAAGAAGUCCCACUUUAAAAACUUAAUAGCAGGAUACACGUCAAAUCAACAACCUUAAACAGACUAAUCCUCAGUCUGCACUCCAGGAGUGACAUUCUUUCAAACUAUUCCCUACUGGGGAGAGCAGGAAAGAGAAAUGCAACUAACAAUUGAAUUAGGAGAUGUCUCCAGCCAUCUCUCACAGCCCACAUAGUUGGAUUCCGGCACUCAUGUCAUCAUUAUCAAGUACUUUGAAAACUUUGUCUGUCUGUUUUUUGAUUCCAGAUUUCUUUUGUUCUGUAAAAAAACAAAUUAAAUACAACAAAUGUCACACAUUGGCAAAUGGUUCAUGUCAACUAGCAGAAUGUCUCAAAAAUAAAGCGUAUAAACAAUAUUUCAGAAGCCCUCAAGUGCACUCUUCCAGUACUUCUGCAAAUCAGCACAGCUCAUUGUGUCCUGUUACAGGAAAUUUAUUUUAAAAGUAGCUCAUAGAUGGCCCAAUGGAGGGAACAAGCAACAGAAUAUGCAUCCAUGACUUUGGCUAAUGCAGAGCAUAAUUAUGCCCAAUUAGAUGGCAGUCAUAUUUGGAGUCAGGAAGUUCCACCAAUACCUUUACGAACAUAAAUGUGUAAUAAGUUGACAACAGACCCCUGCUCGGGCUUCAGAAUGAGUUCCCUGAUUGGACCAGAUUAACAGCCCCAAUCAGGGAUCCCUGGUUGAUAGAUAAAAACAGGAGUGUUUCCCCCUCCAAAUCUAUUUUGAUUUAGUCCCUGCCCUCCCCUUCACUGUUUUGAUCACACAGCAU